GGCUCUGGUGGCCUAGAGUUUGGAGCAUUUGCCUCGGAUACAGGAGGUCAUGGGUUCGAUCCCUGCCUGAGUCA